CUCGUCACGUUAAUCACUCCCAGCUGUGUCCCCCACCUGUGUGUGAUCUCCCUGUGUUCUCUGAGUGUUUUUAAGUCUUGUCUUCUGUCUUAGUCGUUGCUGGUUCGUCUGUGUUGUUUCUCCUCGCUCUCCCUGCGUCUCUCUAGCUGCCGCAUUUUGGGUCCUAUCUCCAAUUCCACACGUCUGCCACCGCGGACGUGACAAACAGAGCUGGUUCCACAGAAGAGGGGCCUGAAAACUGAAUGUGUUCACUGACCGGUGUUGCCAGCUUUGGUGGCUCGUCUCCCGCUCGAAGAGGACCAAAAAGAGAACCAUACAGUGUUCAGCUGCCUGGCUGUGCUCUACACACACAGCCCUGCUCUGGUCGUGAAUUUAAUGAAACCCAUAGUUGCUGCUUCCAGUCAUGUCGUGGGCAACAAGGAUGUUGAUAAAGAAAGCCAGAACAUUUCAGUAGCACUCAUGAGAAAGUUUGGCCAGAACCACAGUGCUGAGGUCCAAGCAGCUGUGACCUCACUUCCUGCACAGCAGAGACCCUUGUUAACGUGCAUGCCGUGUUUACUUUUUCUUAUGUUAGGAGUUCGGGUUCACCAUCCUGUGUUCUGUAUUUUGAUUUCCUGCUUCACUAUAAAUCGCUGCUGCUGUUCUUUACGCGGUUUGGACACACUUCGUGCUUUGUUCUCAAGAGUGUGAAGUAAUGGAUUUAAUCUGCUAAGGAGAGUUUUUCAUUCCCAUUGCUCUUUGGGAGUCAGCGGGCUUUAACCUGUGGAGAAACACGUGUGCUCUUGCUCCUUCAAACGGUUUUCUUCAGAGAUUUCUCACUGUUUGUACACAUGCUGAGUGGCUAGUUUUGAAAACACUUACUUUACCUUUACUACUCUGCUCAGAAAUGCAACCUGUGACCUUACACAGCCCAAAAACUUAUCCUAAAACAUAAAUUAACAAGGACAGAAGCUUUUUACAAAUGCUUCAACAGUGUAAUUCUAACAAGGUAUGCAAUACAUCUAAUGUCAGUUCAGAGGUAUGAAGUGAUGACACUUUGACAUCACUGAAUAAAAGCAGUCUUGUCAUAAUAAGCUUUGCUGUGGACAGUUGGCGCGUUAAACUUUUUCUUACAAAUAAAAAAGGUAAUCAGAUGUUAAGUUUGUUCAGUUUUAGUUGUUCUCAUCGUGUUGCUCCUCAGAUCUCCCGUUGUCCCUGAGCCUGACUAAAGCUCGGCAGCUUGUUUUCAGGGCAUGGCAAUGCAGAUAUGAGCUAAAUGUGACACAGCAAAGAAAAAUCAGAAUCAAGAAACCCUGAGCUGACUUUCAUGGCUACAGACGUGACAUUAAGAGCCUCACAGAUCAAAAAAGUAUGGGAUUUAAACUGCUUCUAGACCUGCACACGUCUGUUUCCAGGGCAGGAUAUCCAUUCCAGUGCAGCAGAAGGAGCGGUCAGUGUGGACCUCGGUGCUGUACAGGACCUCCUGGAGCUGCUUGUCUCCUGGCAUCUGGGCUUUCACUCGUAUCUGAAGGACAAAAUAGGAAAAUCAAGUUGCUCUCACUGUCACCUGAUUUCCACAGACUGCCAUCUGACCACAUCCCUGCAGUUGGAUCCCACCGCCGUACCUCUAGGAUGGGUCUUCUUGGUGUCAACCCAAACCACCCUCUCCUUCAGCUCUGAGCUGAAUAUAUACACAUGAUUGCUUCUUAAAAAACAAACAAAAACAAAAAAACGUCCCCACACGGAGUGAGACUCAGUCUUGGAUGCCCAGAUCAGCCAGUGUGGUGUCCAAGAAAGGGAAGGGUUGGUUUGCCAAGUUGGGCUGUACCUCGAUGGGCAGUGUCACCAACAUGGGGAUAUCCUGCUCCAGUCUGACGCGCAACAUCUUGUUGUGGGACCCCGGGAGCUUCCUGUCUGCCGAUCCGCCUCUUCGUCGGCCUGCUCCACAGUCGCCGCCUCCUCCAGAGAGCGUUUUGUGUCGUCUGCUGCCAGCUUGACUUGCUGAUCUUUAUCUCAGGAGGCAGUGGGUUUUUACCCUCUCCCCCUUUGAUCCUGUGUGUUAUCGUUUAAAACUCGCUAUCUGCAUCUUUUGGCUCCAGCACGUCUUUAUUGUUAGAGUUGUUGCUUGCUGUGUUCUUCUGCAGGGUGCUGAUGAUUCAUUGUUCUGCUUCUUCUGAUGGUAAACGCCUCUGGAAAGCCUGAAUAUGUGAGCGCGUCUGAUUCAUACAGAGUUCUGCUCUGCCCCCCCCGGACUGAUAUAUGCAGCCAGUGUGAAUGUGUGUUAUGUAUCACUCACAUGUUAGGUUCAUUAGACUGACACAAGGGUGAUGCACGGAUGUUGGUGUUUUUAGGGCCAAGUGUGAAAGUGGAAGAAAGACAAUUUCUUUUGAAAUGUUAAAAGAACGUUGGAAAUUUGAUCAGAAUACAGUAAAAAUGAGAGAAACAGAUAUUUUUCUCAGAUCAUUGUGUUAAAUUGUCAUAAUCGCCAUGUUCUCUUUAAGACUAUCAGCUCUACUCUAAACAACCCUGAAAGCCUCUGCUGACACAUG